rnacentral:rRNA from 1 species
ACGCUGGCGGCGUGCUUAACACAUGCAAGUCGAACGAUGAAGCCUAGCUUGCUAGGUGGAUUAGUGGCGAACGGGUGAGUAAUGCGUGAGUAACCUACCUUUAACUCUGGGAUAAGCCUGGGAAACUGGGUCUAAUACCGGAUACGACCAAUCUCCGCAUGGGGUGUUGGUGGAAAGCGUUAUGUAGUGGUUAUAGAUGGGCUCACGGCCUAUCAGCUUGUUGGUGAGGUAACGGCUCACCAAGGCGACGACGGGUAGCCGGCCUGAGAGGGUGACCGGCCACACUGGGACUGAGACACGGCCCAGACUCCUACGGGAGGCAGCAGUGGGGAAUAUUGCACAAUGGGCGCAAGCCUGAUGCAGCGACGCCGCGUGAGGGAUGACGGCCUUCGGGUUGUAAACCUCUGUUAGCAGGGAAGAAGAGAGAUUGACGGUACCUGCAGAGAAAGCGCCGGCUAACUACGUGCCAGCAGCCGCGGUAAUACGUAGGGCGCGAGCGUUGUCCGGAAUUAUUGGGCGUAAAGAGCUUGUAGGCGGUUUGUCGCGUCUGCUGUGAAAGGCCGGAGCUUAACUCCGUGUAUUGCAGUGGGUACGGGCAGACUAGAGUGCAGUAGGGGAGACUGGAAUUCCUGGUGUAGCGGUGGAAUGCGCAGAUAUCAGGAGGAACACCGAUGGCGAAGGCAGGUCUCUGGGCUGUAACUGACGCUGAGAAGCGAAAGCAUGGGGAGCGAACAGGAUUAGAUACCCUGGUAGUCCAUGCCGUAAACGUUGGGCACUAGGUGUGGGGGACAUUCCACGUUUUCCGCGCCGUAGCUAACGCAUUAAGUGCCCCGCCUGGGGAGUACGGCCGCAAGGCUAAAACUCAAAGAAAUUGACGGGGGCCCGCACAAGCGGCGGAGCAUGCGGAUUA